UACGUAGGGGGCAAGCGUUGUCCGGAAUCAUUGGGCGUAAAGCGCGUGUAGGCGGCCAGAAAAGUCCGCUGUGAAAACUCGAGGCUCAACCUCGAGCUGUCGGUGGAAACUUUCUGGCUAGAGUCCGGAAGAGGAGAAUGGAAUUCCUGGUGUAGCGGUGAAAUGCGCAGAUAUCAGGAAGAACACCCGUGGCGAAGGCGGCUUCCUGGACCGACACUGACGCUGAGGCGCGAAAGCUAGGGGAGCAAACGGG
rnacentral:rRNA from 1 species